rnacentral:rRNA from 1 species
CCUACGGGGGCAGCAGUGGGGAAUAUUGGACAAUGGGUGAAAGCCUGAUCCAGCCAUGCCGCGUGUGUGAAGAAGGCCUUCGGGUUGUAAAGCACUUUCAGUGGGGAAGAAAGCCUUGGGGCUAAUACCCUCGAGGAAGGACAUCACCCACAGAAGAAGCACCGGCUAACUCCGUGCCAGCAGCCGCGGUAAUACGGAGGGUGCGAGCGUUAAUCGGAAUUACUGGGCGUAAAGCGCGCGUAGGCGGUCUGAUAAGCCGGUUGUGAAAGCCCCGGGCUCAACCUGGGAACGGCAUCCGGAACUGUCAGGCUAGAGUGCAGGAGAGGAAGGUAGAAUUCCCGGUGUAGCGGUGAAAUGCGUAGAGAUCGGGAGGAAUACCAGUGGCGAAGGCGGCCUUCUGGACUGACACUGACGCUGAGGUGCGAAAGCGUGGGUAGCAAACAGGAUUAGAUACCCCAGUAGUC